UCCCUGGCAGUCCAGUGGUUACGACUCUGCACUUGCAAUGCAGGGACUGUGGGUUCAAUUCCCUGUGGGGGAA
rnacentral:tRNA from 1 species